AUGCUUAGGAGGAUGUUCCAAGGUGGUCCUUCAAGGAAGCAAGGUCCCAGGCUUGCAAUACGUGAUGCUGAUGAGGAACCACCAAGAGACGCUCCUGUGAGGCCUUGUGAAUGGCCAUCGGAAAAUUUUAUGAAGCAAGUAGGAAUCAAAGAAGAAUUUAUCACAUAUUUGAGUAACGCCUGUCUUGAGGACUUUGAAGCUGACAAAUGCCCCCAGUAUUAUGAUCUCACAAGUUCAUUUGUGAAGAGGUUUGAGUUUUCAUCUUCGCGUAAUUCUCCUUCAGUCAUGUUUGACCUUUAUGACAAAUCCUAUACCAUGGACUUAGAGGAUUUUACCUCUGCUUGCAAACUUCCAUCUUGGGGUAAUGUCAGGGAUCCCCCUAAAUCUGAAUAUAGAGACUUUCUUACUAAAAUAACUGUAGGGGAAUCUAGAGAUAUAAUGUAA
rnacentral:rRNA from 1 species